UGGGAGGCAGAUACCUGGACAGCCCUGAGCAGUGUUCUGUCCAUCACUGUCCCUCCCUAGAGUAUCGCUGCUUUCUGAUGACCGGGGCGAAUUAAGUGAAAUCGUCACGGACAGAUACGGAGCAGACACUU